UACGGGGGGAGCAAGCGUUGUUCGGAUUUACUGGGCGUAAAGGGCGCGUAGGCGGUCAGCACAAGUCAGUUGUGAAAUCUCCGGGCUUAACUCGGAACGGUCAACUGAUACUGUGCGACUAGAGUGCAGAAGGGGCAACCGGAAUUCUUGGUGUAGCGGUGAAAUGCGUAGAUAUCAAGAGGAACACCUGAGGUGAAGACGGGUUGCUGGGCUGACACUGACGCUGAGGCGCGAAAGCGUGGGGAGCGAACAGG
rnacentral:rRNA from 1 species